rnacentral:miRNA from 1 species
UGUUGUCUGACAUGGAGGGUC